rnacentral:rRNA from 1 species
GACAGAGGGUGCAAGCGUUGUUCGGAAUUAUUGGGCGUAAAGGGCGCGUAGGCGGCUUUGAAAGUCAGAUGUGAAAGCCCAGGGCUUAACCCUGGAAGUGCAUCUGAUACUGCUUAGCUUGAGUCCCGGAGAGGGUGGUGGAAUUCCUGGUGUAGAGGUGAAAUUCGUAGAUAUCAGGAGGAACACCGGUGGCGAAGGCGACCACCUGGACGGAGACUGACGCUGAGGCGCGAAAGCGUGGGGAGCAAACAGG